rnacentral:rRNA from 1 species
GGCUUAUUGAUAAUAAUUUUAAGUCAGGCCUGCCCACUGAAAAUUUAAAGGGCCGCGGUAUUUUGACCGUGCAAAGGUAGCAUAAUCAUUAGUUUCUUAAUUAGAAGCUGGAAUGAAUGGUUUGAUGAAAAAAUAACUGUCUUAAUUUAAAUUUAUAUGAAUUUUAUUUUUAAGUAAAAAAGCUUAAAUUUUAUUUAAAGACGAGAAGACCCUUUAGAGUUUUAUAUAUUAAAAAUUUAAAAUUUUUAGAAUUUUAAUUUUUAAAAUUUAGAUAUAUUUAAUUGGGGUGAUUGCAAAAUUUAUAGAACUUUUGUUUAUUUAAUUCAUUAAUUUAUGAAUAUUUGAUCCAUUAUUUAUGAUUAUAAGAAUAAAUUACCUAAGGGAUAACAGCGUUAUUUUUUAUGAGAGUUCAAAUUGAAUAAAAAGUUUGCGACCUCGAUGUUGGAUUAAAAUAAAUUUUUGGUGCAGAAGCUAAAAAAUUGGGUCUGUUCGACCUUUAAAAUUUUACAUGA